UCCAGGCCUCCCAGCGGCUCCGGAUGAGCCCGCGGCGAGACUGCAGUUGCAGCCAAACGUCUCUUCCGCCCAAUCCUGCUUCCUUCCCUUUCCUUCCAAGAGUGUUCCCUCCUCAGCGCUCUCCGCCCACCUCCCUCUCAGACUUAGCUGCCACAGCCCUGAUAGGUAACCGACACCGGAAGACACGGUUGCGCUCUUCCGCUUUCCAAGCAAUGAGACGCUUUCAUGAAGCCUAGUGACCUAAAGUGGCCUACGGUGAAGAGUGGGCCGUUCCUGAAAAGGAACUGAUCUUUUGGAGUAACACAUUGAUGUCUGAAUGAAACAUGGAAUUAUUUUCUACUGGUGCUCUGGUAAGAAGAUUGAAAAUAUCUAAUCAACUUCCAUCAGCUUACUCGAGCCUCUCCCGUAUCAGAGAACUGGAGUUCCUGUUCUCUGUCCGGUUAAAUGAACUACCCUAACAAUGAUCUACCGCAGAGGAUAUGGUUCUAGGAUGAAUUAUCUUCUUUCCUGCCCUCUCUAAUUAUGUGUAAUUACACGUGGUGUCUUCAUGUGUCUGGAAAAUAAAAACUUAGAAUUUAGCGUCCAGAUUU